GAUUACAAUAACUUUUUUACUAUCCAUACGAGCCCCAAGUGAAAAAAGACUAGGGGCUCGUAUGGAUAGUAAAAAAGUUAUUGUAAUCGACU
rnacentral:sRNA from 1 species